GUGAACCCCGAGUUCGCUAAAGAUUUUAUUGAGCCCUGGGGUGGGGGUGGGGGGUUCUUACUGUGAUAAAACUCCAUGGCCAAAAGCAACAUAAGGAGGAAAGGGUUUAGUUCACCUUACCGAGAAUCCAUCACCAAAGGAAGCCAAGCAGAAACCUGAAGCAGAAACUGGAACAGAAGCCGUGGAGAAACGCUCCUUACGGACUUGCUCUCCAUGGCUUGCUCAGCCUGCUGUCUUAUACCAACCACGCAGGGCUAUUUAUCCAGGGGUGGAAGCACAAUGGGCUGGGCCUUCCCCAUCAAUCACUAAUUAAGAAAAUGCACUGUAGACCUGCCUACAAGCCAAUCUGAUGGAGGCAUGUUCUCAAUGAGAGUCCCUCUUCCCGAAUGACUCUAGCUUGUGUCAAGCUGACAUAAUACUAGCCAGCACAGAUACCUCCAUGCCAAGCUCUGGGUUAAAUAUUAGAGCUAGUAGGUUUAAAAUUAAACCAGGGUGCAGGCCCAGGAAGUGGAGUCUGGGUAGACAUUAAGGUCUCAGAAGUGCCUAAAUCUUCCCCACAAAGGACAGAGGGAACUGAGAGACAAAAACCAGAAGCCGAGAAGCCACCUCUCAUGCCCAGACGCCACAGGAAGAAGAACCAACAGCUCUCCUCAGGCCUGUCUGACUUCAGUCACAGACAGCCUGUGGCAGCAAACUGGUCCCAGUUCUAGACAAGCAGGCUUCCACGAGGGACCAGGAAAGCACUGUUGAGGCCACUUCCCUGGUGCCUCCACUAGUCAUAUAAAUGCCAACGGGCACCAGGGCUGUAGGCAAUGUGGGUCUGCCAGUGCUGGCAGUAAUGACUGUGUUGGUGGCCUCAAGUCACAGGAGGGAGCUAGCCACCAUUUUGUGAGAAUAAGGCUGAACUGGACACUAAAUGGCUGCAGUCCUCCUGUCCUUUUGGUGUGAACCUUAGCCUUUAAUGGCUGAACCAUCUCUUUAGACUGCAGCUGCUGUCUUCCAUAGCUCCUUGUAGCAGGAGUUGAAGUGUCUUUGCUCAAUCCCAUGUCUGACUUGGCCUUGCUCAGUUCCAAGCCCGGGGUUCAAGAAGUCUUGUAGCUAGCUUUUGCACUUACAUCUUUGGCAAUGGAAAGAAGCCUGAGAGAGACCCAGGCUGUUGAAUGGGGCACAUGUGAUC
rnacentral:lncRNA from 1 species